rnacentral:rRNA from 1 species
AUUGAACGCUGGCGGCAGGCCUAACACAUGCAAGUCGAACGAGUGGCGGACGGGUGAGUAAUGUCUGGGAAACUGCCCGAUGGAGGGGUAUAACUACUGGAAACGGUAGCUAAUACCGCAUCCCAUCGGAUGUGCCCAGAUGGGAUUAGCUAGUAGGUGGGGUAACGGUUCACCUAAGCGACGAUCCCUAGCUGGUCUGAGAGGAUGACCAGCAAAACUGGAACUGAGUGACGGUCCAGACUCCGGCGGGAGGGAGCAGUGGGGAAUAUUGCACAAUGGGCGGCAGCCUGAUGUAGCCAUGCCGCGUGUAUGAAGAAGGCCUUCGGGUUGUAAAGUGCUUUCAGAGAGGAGGCGUUACUCGCAGAAGAAGGAACGGCUAACUCCGUGACAGCAGCCGCGGUGAUUC